rnacentral:rRNA from 1 species
AUGGCACUGGGAGUCAUGAGUUUGCUAUGCUCAUUCCUGGCCGUCCUGUCGAUCGCCAUGACGGCGACCGCUGGCGACGAGGCCGCGCUGCUUGCUUUCAAAGCGCACCUCAGCAAUGGUGGCUUGCUGGCCUCUUGGAACAGCAGCGCCGGCUUCUGCAGCUGGAAAGGCGUGACGUGCAGCCACCGAAGGCCAGCGCGGGUGGUGGCGCUGAGAUUGAACGCCACCGGGCUCACUGGGCCACUCUCCCCGGCCAUCGGGAACCUCACGUUCCUGCGGACUCUCGACCUGGGCACCAACUCGCUCCACGGGGACAUUCCGGCGAGCCUCGGCCGCCUCCGCCGCCUGCAGGAGCUCUACUUGGGAGAAAACUCCUUCUCCGGCACAUUACCAGUCAACCUGAGCUCCUGCACCAGCAUGACCAAUAUGGGACUGUACAACACCAAGCUAAGCGGGCGCAUCCCGGCUGAGCUCGGCGAGAAGCUCACAGCCCUGGUAGCGAUCUCGCUGAGAAACAACAGCUUCACAGGGCCCAUCCCAGCGUCACUAGCCAAUUUGUCCCGUCUACAAGUCCUGGACCUCUCCAAUAACCAGCUCGUUGGCUCGAUUCCACCAGGGCUUGGCAGCAUCCAGAGCAUGCGUUUUUUCAAUCUCUUUGGAAACAACCUCUCCGGUAUGCUUCCACCUUCUCUCUACAAUUGGUCGUUGAUGGGAGCAUUUGAAGUAGGGUAUAAUAAGUUGCACGGAAACAUUCCGGAUGAUAUUGGUAGCAAGUUCCCCAAGUUGUAUUAUUUUGGCUUGGGUCAUAAUCAAUUCACAGGAACCAUCCCUUCCUCAAUAUCCAACAUAUCUUCCCUUGAAACAAUUGGCCUCUACCAUAAUGGAUUUAGUGGGUACGUGCCUCCCACAUUGGGGAAGCUGGGAGCUCUCCAGACACUGUACUUUGCUGACAAUAAGCUUGAAGCGGAUGACAAUGAUGGGUGGGAAUUCAUCACUUCUUUGGCAAACUGCAGCAAACUGAAGACGUUGGAACUCAGCAUCAAUUCUUUUGGAGGACAACUACCUGGUCCAAUUGUGAACCUCUCAACGACCCUCCGGUUCUUGCAGGUAAUGAACAAUAGGAUCUUUGGGAGUAUCCCUGCAGACAUUGGCAAUCUGGUUGGUCUGGAAGUACUUGGAUAG